UUCUGGUUGAUCCUGCCAGAGGUUACUGCUAUCGAGGUUCGACUAAGCCAUGCGAGUCGAAUGUAGCAAUACAUGGCGUACUGCUCAGUAACACGUGGAUAACCUACCCUUGAGAUGGGGAUAAACCCGGGAAACUGGGUAUAAUACCCGAUAGAUCUCGACUGCUGGAAUGCAUCGAGCUCUAAAGCUCCGGCGCUCAAGGAUGGGUCUGCGGCCUAUCAGGUAGUAGUGGGUGUAGCGUACCUACUAGCCUACGACGGGUACGGGUUGUGAGAGCAAGAGCCCGGAGAUGGAUUCUGAGACACGAAUCCAGGCCCUACGGGGUGCAGCAGGCGCGAAAACUUUACAAUGCUGGAAACAGCGAUAAGGGGACCUCGAGUGCCAGGUUACAAAUCUGGCUGUCGUGAUGCCUAAAAAGCAUUGCAUAGCAAGGGCCGGGCAAGACCGGUGCCAGCCGCCGCGGUAACACCGGCGGCUCGAGUGGUAACCGUUAUUAUUGGGUCUAAAGGGUCUGUAGCCGGCCGGAUAAGUCUCUUGGGAAAUCUGGCAGCUUAACUGUCAGGCUUUCAGGAGAUACUGUCUGGCUCGAGGCCGGGAGAGGUGAGAGGUACUUCAGGGGUAGGGGUGAAAUCUUGUAAUCCUUGAAGGACCACCAGUGGCGAAGGCGUCUCACCAGAACGGACCUGACGGCAAGGGACGAAAGCUAGGGGCACGAACCGGAUUAGAUACCCGGGUAGUCCUAGCCGUAAACGAUACUCGCUAGGUGUCGGCCACGGUGCGACCGUUGUCGGUGCCGUAGGGAAGCCGUGAAGCGAGCCACCUGGGAAGUACGGCCGCAAGGCUGAAACUAAAAGGAAUUGGCGGG
rnacentral:rRNA from 1 species